UCAGCUUCAAACUGUCUUCGGACUGUCUCUUGAGGCAACAAAAUCUCUAUUGAUCGACCUCAAAUCAGGUAGGACUACCCGCUGAACUUAAGCAUAUCAAUAAGCGGAGGAAAAGAAACUAACAAGGAUUCCCCUAGUAACUGCGAGUGAAGAGGGAAGAGCUCAAAUUUAAAAUCUGUCGGUCUUUGGCUGACUGAGUUGUAAAUUAGAGAAGUGCUAUCAAUGCUGGCCUGUGCAAAAGUCUCUUGGAAAAGAGCAUCAUAGAGGGUGACAAUCCCGUCUUUGGUACAGAUCUCCAGUGUUUCCAUGAUGCGCUCUCGAUGAGUCGAGUUGUUUGGGAAUGCAGCUCUAAAUGGGUGGUAAAUUCCAUCUAAAGCUAAAUAUUGGCGAGAAACCGAUAGCGCACAAGUACCGUGAGGGAAAGAUGAAAAGAACUUUGAAAAGAGAGUUAAACAGUACGUGAAAUUGUUGAAAGGGAAACGCUUGAAGUCAGUCGCGUUCUUCAGAAAUCAACCUGACUUUGGUCUGGCUUACUUUCUGUUGGAUGGGUCAGCAUCAAUUUUGAUCAUUGGAUAAAGGCCUUGGGAAAGUGGCAUCUCUGGAUGUGUUAUAGCCCUUGGAUCACAUACAAUGGUUGGGAUUGAGGAACUCAGUGUGAAUUUGGAGCUUUGCUCACAACACGCACUUAGGAUGCUGGCAUAAUGGCUUUAAUCGAC
rnacentral:rRNA from 1 species